GUAGGGAAUAUUGGACAAUGGGGGCAACCCUGAUCCAGCGACGCCGCGUGAGUGAUGAAGGCCUUCGGGUCGUAAAGCUCUGUUGCAGGGGAAGAACACAAUGACGGUACCCUGCUAGAAAGGAUCGGCUAACUUCGUGCCAGCAGCCGCGGUAAGACGAGGGAUCCUAGCGUUGUUCGGAAUUAUUGGGCGUAAAGCGGGUGCAGGUGGCUUGGUAAGUCAGAUGUGAAAGCCUGGGGCUUAACCCCAGAAGUGCAUUUGAUACUGCUGAGCUUGAGUGCUGGAGAGGCUAGUAGAAUUCCUGGUGUAGUGGUGAAAUACGUAGAUAUCAGGAGGAAUACCGGAGGCGAAGGCGGAUAGCUGGCCAGACACUGACACUCAGACCCGAAAGCGUGGGGAUCAAACAGGAUUAGAAACCCUGGUAGUCC
rnacentral:rRNA from 1 species